GUCCCUGUAGCGCAAUGAAUAGCGCGUUGGACUUCUAAUCCAAAGGUCGUAGGUUCUAAUUCUACCUGGGAUG
rnacentral:tRNA from 1 species